UAUCGCCACUAGUCGGCGUAGGUCAGUGUGUGUUGACCUCUUCUGAGUAAUGUGUAUUACAAUGAGUAAUUGCAAUCUUCAUGUAAUUUUUAACUUAGAGAUGUCAAGAUUUAAGUCGCUGAAGUUAUGGUUGGUAGAGAUUCGACCGAAUGCUUGCGGUCGGAACAAUUGGGACACAAAUUCAUCACACCAGAAAUCUCUCUUGAGGAUCAGUGCUGCCUAAAGGUAUAUUGAUAGAAGCUGACAAAAGUGCAUUCCUGAGCAAGAUUUCAGCUGAAGGACAAAUUUUGGCAGCAUGUCAAGUUGACCAUUUACAUGAUGAUGUCAAGUUCAUCUUUU